GCAGGUGUCGCCAAGUGGUUAAGGCUCCGGUUUGUGGUAUCGGCAUUCGCGGGUUCAACUCCCGUCAUCUGCCCCA
rnacentral:tRNA from 2 species